rnacentral:rRNA from 1 species
GAUGAACGCUGGCGGCGUGCCUAAUACAUGCAAGUCGAGCGAACGGACGAGAAUCUUGCUUCUCUGAUGUUAGCGGCGGACGGGUGAGUAACACGUGGAUAACCUACCUAUAAGACUGGGAUAACUUCGGGAAACCGUAGCUAAUACCGGAUAAUAUUUUGAACCGCAUGGUUCAAAAGUGAAAGACGGUCUUGCUGUCACUUAUAGAUGGAUCCGCGCUGCAUUAGCUAGUUGGUAAGGUAACGGCUUACCAAGGCAACGAUGCAUAGCCGACCUGAGAGGGGGAUCGGCCACACUGGAACUGAGACACGGUCCAGACUCCUACGGGAGGCAGCAGUAGGGAAUCUUCCGCAAUGGGCGAAAGCCUGACGGAGCAACGCCGCGUGAGUGAUGAAGGUCUUCGGAUCGUAAAACUCUGUUAUUAGGGAAGAACAUAUGUGUAAGUAACUGUGCACAUCUUGACGGUACCUAAUCAGAAAGCCACGGCUAACUACGUG